AUAAAAACAAAAGAUGCAAUCAUAUUUUUGGACGGAUAUUUAAUUCCAUUUUUAAGCCCAAUGCAAUUUUUUUUAAAACCCAACCCAAAUCAACCCUUACCCAACCCCAAACCGGGUCAACACGACCCGGCCCAAUACCCUAACCCAGUUCCCCACCUAAAAAACCCUAGACCUAAGACAUAUAACAAAUAUAUACGCCUGAAAAUAAAGAGGAGCGCAGCCUUUGCAAGAAAACCGCACUUUUCUCUCCUAGCGAUUUAUCUACUUCUUCUUCAUAGAAGAGGAGCCAAAAAUUCAUGGCUGCCAUCCUUGUCUUCCUCAGCUGAGGACCAAACGUCCCCUGAACCUCUGCUAUGCUAACCAGCCUGAACCAACAGCAUCAAGCCACCCACCAGAAGACGCCAUCCCUUCUUCAAAUAGCCAGCGACCACCAGCUACUAUUUUCAGUUCAAACGAGAGCAACAAUAGUGAAUAGUUCUGCUUCUUCUUCUAGUUCUUUGGUUGUCGUCGAAAAAUGGUGGAUUUUAAGUUAAAUUCGAGUUUGCCGGACAGAUUUGGGUUCCGCCGAGUCAUCACUAUCCAAAUUUUCUGGUGCUGAGCAUUUUCAAAACUAAAAAUGCUUUGAUUUGAGUUUCUCCGAUGAUGUUUGGGUUAGUCCGUCGCCUGUCGAUGUCAGAUCCGUUUGAUUCGGAUUUAUAUCGCAAACUGAGAUCCGUUGUGGUCGAAUAUGAGUUUUGUUGAAUUUCCAUUCGUUGGUUUUGUUGUAUGUUUCCCGUGGCGAUCUAAUGUACAUUUCUGUUAGGGUCGAUUCAGUAAUCAAAUUCUUAAAAGCCGUUUGCUGCUACAAGGUCCACUUUUACUCUCAUUGUAGUUCCUUUGUUUCCUUCAAUAAUCAUAAAUGGAUAAGUUUUACUACUGAUAUUAUAGUGCUUACAUUUUGUGCUACUGAAUAAUGUCUUCUAUGCUGCUUCUAUGGGAACUUUCUGUGAUUAUUGUUGUUUAUGUUGGAUAGUUGUAGUAAUGUCUUUGCGGAUAAAUUGCACAAUAGUGAGGCCUUACAUUUUUAGUUUGGUAUAGAGUUGCAAUGUUGUGGAUACGCAGGCAAGCAUUCUCGCUUGAAGUUGUCUUAGUUAUUUUGUUUUCCGUUGUCCAGUUUGACUAGUCUGGAAACUUGAGCAUUGAGAUUGGAUUUGAUGGAUUAUUAGGAACCAUUACUCUAAGAUGAUGUAUUAAUAGUUGGAAUGCGUAGAAAUAGAUUUUUUUUUUCUUUUUGAAAGAAUGUCAUAUUAGAAUAGGAGUUAUUAGUAAUUAGUAUUAUGCGUUAUAACAUGGCUGCUAAAAAUGAAUCUCCGUAAUUUACUUU
rnacentral:lncRNA from 1 species